rnacentral:tRNA from 1 species
GGAGAGGUGCCAGAGUGGUUGAAUGGGGCGGUCUCGAAAACCGUUGUGGGGGUAACUCCACCCAGGGUUCGAAUCCCUGCCUCUCCGCCA